CGUUCCCGUACGAUCAGCGAAGUUAAGCGAUGUCGAGUUUGUUCAGCACCUAGCUGGGUGACCACUUGGGAAUACCAGGUGCUGUAA